AUGGACCGCUUCCAGGACGGGCACCACGUGCGGCUGCGGAGCCGCGUGUCGCGCACCUACCUCCACGCCGCCGACGACGGGGUGGGCGUCACGCUCCACGAGCGCCGCGCCUCCAUGAACGCUGCGUGGGCGGUGCACAUCUACCACGGCGACGACAGCCCUUACCUGCUCUUCCACAGCGCCGCCUACGGCCGCUACCUCGCCGCCACGGCCACGCCGGCGAGGCUCGGCCACCGGGGCCUCCGCGCGGAGCUGCGCGACUACGACCAGCCGGGCGUGGAGGCCGUCAUGUGGCAAGCCGUGGGGUCGGGCUUCGCGGACGACGUCGUGCUGCUCCGCAACGUCGGCGGCCGCUACCUCCGCGCCAACGGCAGGUACAUCCGCUGGAACGCCGGCGUCAGCGUCGACAACAGCUUCAGCUCCAUGAUGUACUGGGUCGUCGAGCCCAUUCCCGCCACAGAGGACAUGCCUGCCCUUCCUGCCCCGCCUCCGAAUCCCCCAUACGGAUACCUCCUCGGGGUCAUCCACCUGGAGCCGGAACGGCUGAUCCGGUUCGUGCGGGCGCAAGACGACGGGCACUACCCCGAGGACCCCGAGGACGAAGGCUGGCAGCAGUUCUGGUUCAGGGGGACGUCCGCGUUUCGCCUGAGGGACGACCUGGGGUUCCUCGUCGGCGCCGGCGUGUACUAUCCGGACAUCGCCAUGUGCGUCCGAGCGGGCCGCUACGGGAGGCUGACCCCGCUCGUCGUCGACCUGCCCGACGGCGGCUAUGGCGACACCCUCGAGAUUGUCGUCUUCCUGGCCGACACCCCUGGUGAGAGCCUCUCUUCAUGCCUACUUCCUCCUAUGUAUCUCCUGACUGAAAUUGUCUUACUGAAGCUGUUAGGUGUCUUCAACUGA
rnacentral:rRNA from 1 species